rnacentral:ncRNA from 1 species
CAAUUGAAGAGUUUGAUCCUGGCUCAGAUUGAACGCUGGCGGCAUGGCUAAAGCAUGCAAGUCUGGGAGAACCUUCGGGGGACACCGGCGAAAGGGCGAGUAAUGCGAUCGAACGUACCCCAAUGUGGGGGAUAGCGUCGGGAAACCGGCGGUAAUACCCCAUGUGCUCUACGGAGGAAGUUGGGAGCGGCGAUCGUCCUAUCAGGUUGUUGGUGAGGUAACGGCUCACCAAGCCGAAGACGGGUAGCGGGUGUGAGAGCAUGGCCCGCCGCAUCGGGACUGAGACACUGCCCGGACUCCUACGGGAGGCUGCAGCGACGAAUCUUCCGCAAUGCGCGAAAGCGUGACGGAGCAAUGCCGCGUG